rnacentral:rRNA from 1 species
CCUUCAGUGCGGCAGUUAACACAAUAAAGGUAAUCCCACCUGGGGGAGUACGACCGCAAGGUUGAAACUCAAAGAAAUUGACGGGGGGCCCGCACAAACAGUGGAGUAUGUGGUUUAAUUCGACGCAACGCGAAGAACCUUACCAAGUCUUGACAUCCUCUGGCGAUGCUGGAAACAGUAUUUUCCUUCGGGACAGAGAGACAGGUGGUGCAUGGUUGUCGUCAGCUCGUGUCGUGAGAUGUUGGGUUAAGUCCCGCAACGAGCGCAACCCUUAUCAUUAGUUGCUACGCAAGAGCACUCUAAUGAGACUGCCGUUGAUAAAACGGAGGAAGGUGGGGAUGACGUCAAAUCAUCAUGCCCCUUAUGACCUGGGCUACACACGUACUACAAUGGUGAUCAAACAGAGGGAAGCAACACAGCGAUGUGAAGCAGAACCCGAAAAAUCAUCUCAGUUCAGAUUGCAGGCAGCAACUCGCCUGCAUGAAGUCGGAAUUGCUAGUAAUCGCGGAUCAGCAUGCCGCGGUGAAUACGUUCCCGGGCCUUGUACACACCGCCCGUCACACCAUGGGAGUCGGUAACACCCGAAGUCAGUAGCCUAACCGCAAGGAGGGCGCUGCCGAAGGUGGGAUUGAUGACUGGGGUGAAGUCGUAACAAGGUAGCCGUAUCGGAAGGUGUGG